rnacentral:sRNA from 1 species
CGGCUGGAUUAUUUCAUCAACUCCUGAGGACAUUUUACACAUGUCCUUGUGUUGAGACAGGGCCUCACUCACCCAAGCUGGAGUGCAGUGGCAUGAACACUGCUCACUGCAGCCUCGAACUUCUGGGCUCAAGGCAUCCUCCUGCCUCAGCCUCCCAAGUAGCUGGGACUACAGUUGCACAUCACCAUGCCUGGCUAAUUUUUUUGUAGAGAUGGGGUCUUGCCAUGUUGCCCAGGCUUACACAUGUCCAGAGGCUAAGAGAGGUUAAGUGGUUGCCCACAGCCACUCAGGUGGUUAAGAGCUGGGAUUCAAACCCAAGUCAGCCUCCAGAGCUAAUACUAUUAUGUCUCAGUGUGGUGUGACACUGUGGAAGGCCAAAGGAGGCACCUAGGGGGCGCCUCAGAGGUUUCCAUAGUAUGAACUUUGUAGUUGAACCUUGUAGGAUUGAGUCCAGGAUUGCACCAUGGGGUCCGUCAAAGACCUGCAGGCGGGAGCUGCCGGGAGCUCUGGGGUUCUUAACCCAGACCUCCCGGGGGCCCGCCUCCUCUGUCUGGCUUCCUUGACCCCUGGCGGGCACAGCUGGCUGUGCAGACCAAGCGUGUGGCGGCGCAGGUGGAUGGCGGCGCGCAGGUGCAGCAGGUGCUCAAUAUCGAGUGUCUGCGGGACUUCCUGACGCCCCCGCUGCUGUCCGUGCGCUUCCGGUGAGUCGGGUGCUGCGCGGCCGGUGGGCGGGGCCUCCGGGCGAGGGGCGGGGCCUAACGGAGCCUCCAUUUCCCCCCACCAGGUACGGUGGCGCCCCCCAGGCCCUCACCCUGAAGCUCCCAGUGACCAUCAACAAGUUCUUCCAGCCCACCGAGAUGGCGGCCCAGGAUUUCUUCCAGCGCUGGAAGCAGCUGAGCCUGUGAGGGGUGGGGAGGGGGCGGAGCCAAAGCCGCGCCUCCUGGUGGGCGGGUCGGGCCGUGCAGGUCCCUGACUUGAACCUUCCCGGUCCCCAGCCCUCAACAGGAGGCGCAGAAAAUCUUCAAAGCCAACCACCCCAUGGACGCAGAAGUUACUAAGGCCAAGGUGAGAGACCACGGGCGUUUGCCGGCCUAUGGCUGCUUUGCUUCUCUGAGCCUCUGUUUUCCCAUCUGUAAAGUGGGGCCAAUUCCCAUCCCCAAGGGUUUUUUGGGAUCUGGGAUGCCACUGUGUGGUAACUAAUAGCUCUGGCACACUCUGACGGCGCCGCCCCUCCCUCCCAGCUUCUGGGGUUUGGCUCUGCUCUCCUGGAUAAUGUGGACCCCAACCCUGAGAACUUCGUGGGGGCGGGGAUCAUUCAGACUAAAGCCCUGCAGGUGGGCUGUCUGCUCCGGCUGGAGCCCAACGCCCAGGCCCAGGUGAGUGCUGCUGUGGGAGGCCUGAGGCCGGCAGGAAGGCCGCCUGUCAUCUCUGCGCCCACCCUUCCUGCCUCACUGUUCUUUAAUUCACGUCCCCACUUUGACCUUCCUCCUCUCACAUUUCUUUGUCCACUUUUUCUCCUCUUUAUCCAUCAGUUUUCUCUCCUGUCUCCAACCUCUGGUGUUCCUCUCCUCUUCCUGUCCCUCCCUGAUUUCUACCUUUCCAUAUCCUUUCCAUCUUUCUCUCCUCAUCUUUUAUAAUUUUCUUCCUCUCGGGCUCCUCUGUUGAUUUCAUUCUUCCAUUCUUCUCUCCUGUGUCUUGUAUCACCUUUCUGGCCCCUUUAUCCUUCCUUCUUCUAUCUCCCUUGUGUCCCCACUUCCCUGGGCUCCCCAUCUCCUCUGAGUUCUGCCCCCAAUGCCCCCACCCAGAUGUACCGGCUGACCCUGCGCACCAGCAAGGAGCCCGUCUCCCGUCACCUGUGUGAGCUGCUGGCACAGCAGUUCUGAGCCCUGGACUCUGCCCCCGGGGAUGUGGCCGGCACUGGGCAGCCCCUUGGACUGAGGCAGCUUUGGUGGAUGGGGGACCUCCACUGGUGACAGAGAAGACACCAGGGGUUGGGGGAUGCCUGGGACCUUCCUCCGGCCUUUUGUAUUUUUAUUUUUGUUCAUCUGCUGCUGUUUACAUUCUGGGGGGUUAGGGGGAGCCCCCUCCCUCCCUUUCCCCCCAAGCACAGAGGGGAGAGGGGCCAGGGAAGUGGAUGCCUCCUCCCCUCCCACCCCACCCUGUUGUAGCCCCUCCUACCCCCUCCCCAUCCAGGGGCUGUGUAUUAUUGUGAGCGAAUAAACAGAGAGACGCUAAC